CCUACGGGAGGCAGCAGUGAGGAAUAUUGGUCAAUGGGCGGAAGCCUGAACCAGCCAAGCAGCGUGCAGGAUGACGGUCCUACGGGUUGUAAACUUCUUUUAUAAGGGAACAACAUGCGUUACGUGAAGGUCUUUGCAUGUACUGUAUGAAUAAGGAUCGGCUAAUUCCGUGCCAGCAGCCGCGGUAAUACGGAGGAUCCGGGCGUUAUCCGGAUUUAUUGGGUUUAAAGGGUGCGUAGGCCGCAUGGUAAGUGAGCGGUGAAAUGCCCGGGGUGAACCCCGGCCUUGCAGCGGCAACUGGCGGGCUGGAGACCGCGGGAGGCAUGCGGAAUGCGGGGUGUAGCGGUGAAAUGCUUAGAUAUUGCGAAGAACCCCGAUUGCGAAGGCAGCUUGCUGCAGGGGAACUGACGCUGAUGCUCGAAAGCGCGGGUAUCGAACAGGAUUAGAUACCCUUGUAGUC
rnacentral:rRNA from 1 species